UUUGAUUAAUUAAGAGAGGGAAUUUUUUGUGGGAUAGCCACAUUGUUUCAAAUCUAAAUAAAUCACUUUUUUUAUGAAGUUGUGUAUUAAGGAUUAGCAAUAGAGGACAACUUGCUACUAUACCAUCUAAUCUUUCUAGUGUCAUAACUCCACUUUUCCUUUAUUCGUCGAAGUAUAUUUGCUACCCCUAAAACCUAAGUCUAACUGGUUACAAUAAUUAAAAUAGUUAAGAAUCAAAUCUAAACGAGCAGCCCCCAAAAUUUUCAUUGGAAUAUAAAAUUUCGUUAAAGUCACCCCCAAACUAGCCAUGGUCUUUUAUACUCGUCAGCUACAUUCAUUAGAUUUUACCAUAGUAAUUUCCUAGAUAAUAAGAUAUUACUAGCAUAUAUGGCUGAAAAUAAAAAAGGUUGAUCGUGGGGACGUACCUGCACCGUUUAGUGGAUUUUCUGAUUUGUGUCAACAAGUUCAGUAACUUGAACAAUGGCAUUAUUCCAUAAUACCCCAAUCCUACCUGACUGCCCAUCAGCAGGGGUUUGUGAGAGAUGAGAGAAAUCUAAAUAUGCAUUGAUAUUCUGGUGAUCCGCUAAGUACUACUCGUGGAGUUUGUUAGUAAUUUAGCAGUGAACGGAAAUUUCAAUGAAAGUCAGAUGAUUGUGCACCCCUACAAUUCCAUAUCACGAAAUUCAUUGAGCUAUUGGGUGAGGGGGUUGGUGGUGGUGUUGUGGUCUGCUCCACCGGCACUGAAGUCAUUUGCCUUACCUCCUAUGGUAUUUGACGUAGAGUUGGCGUGAUCACCACAAUGAAUUUUUCUGCUUUUGGAUUGACGGUGGGCCUCAGCUUGAUCAGGCACUUGGUCUUCUCUGGUGGACAGUUGAGCACCAUUAUUUUGCGUAUUGCUCUUUGAGGAUGGUUAUGUGGCAUGCUCCUAGCCAUACUGGCUCUAUGCGAGUUUCCCUCAUUUCUUUCAUUAGUGCUGCUAUCUAGCCCUAGUUCUCCACCCCUUUCUUGAUUUUCUAGAUUAAAAUUCUACCCCUCUCUCCAAAUUAAAAGUAGUCCCACCUAAGUGUUCGAAUGGUUUAAGCUCUUAAUUUUGUGGAUAAUGUCUCUCACACCAAGAGUUGAUUCAUGCCAAUGUGGUCAUGAAUGUCAAUUAUAUUGAAAACUUCAUGGUCUCCAUUUAAUUCCGUAGGGA
rnacentral:lncRNA from 1 species